AAGUUUUAUGAUCAUUGAUAACUUGUCUCAAAUCUUAAUUGAUUCACUCUUUUGUAGGUAGCUCAUGACCUCAGAUUAUUUGUGCCAUGGAGUCUAUACUUGAUGAAAUUGAUUCUAUGAUUGGUGAGCUAGAUGACAUAGAUUUCAAACCCAAUCGCAAAAAGGAGAUAAUAAAAAAGAAAGACCCUGAUGUUCUGGAUAUCAAAGAUGAAACCACAAAUGGAGGACAGAAUUUUUCCGACCUGAUAAAUGAACUUGCAGCAUUCAACCCUGCACCUGCUGCAACCAAAACUCUUAA